GAUGAACGCUAGCGGCAGGCCUAAUACAUGCAAGUCGAGGGGUAGCAAGAUUGUAGCAAUACAAUUGUUGACGACCGGCAAACGGGUGCGGAACACGUACGCAACCUUCCUACAAGUGGGGAAUAGCCCAGAGAAAUUUGGAUUAAUACCCCGUAACAUAGCGAUGUGGCAUCACAUUGCUAUUAUAGCUUCGGCGCUUGUUGAUGGGUGUGCGGCUGAUUAGAUAGUUGGCGGGGUAACGGCCCACCAAGUCUACGAUCAGUAGCUGAUGUGAGAGCAUGAUCAGCCACACGGGCACUGAGACACGGGCCCGACUCCUACGGGAGGCAGCAGUAAGGAAUAUUGGACAAUGGACGCAAGUCUGAUCCAGCCAUGCCGCGUGAAGGAUUAAGGUCCUCUGGAUUGUAAACUUCUUUUAUAAGGGACGAAAAAAGGUCUUUCUAGAUCGUCUGACGGUACCUUAUGAAUAAGCACCGGCUAACUCCGUGCCAGCAGCCGCGGUAAGAC
rnacentral:rRNA from 1 species